GCUGAGGAGAUGUGCCAGGAGCUGGGGUGACAGGCCAGCCAGGCACGGGUGACAGCCCUGGGCUGGGCAGUGCCUCCGGAGGGACGUGAAGGGCUGUGGGCACUGGUGGUGAUGGAGGAAGCGCCAUGUGCACCACCAUCCUGAUCCUGGGUCCACUGGUCCUGCUGCUGCGGCGCCGCUUCUGCAACAAAGUCGAACCGUACUCGGAGGGAGAGGAAGAGAUCAGGAGAGAGGCUGGCUCUGACCCUCACACCACGUAACAGCACUUUGGAGUAAAGGCCAGCUGGGAUGCAGCAGUUAUCUGGGAUGAUGCAGCUCUGAGGAAACUGGGGGAAGGACGUGCAAAAAGCCCAGUCUUCACCUUCAACUCCCCUGCACUCUGCAGCUGGCACUGAGCACAUCCCAGCCUUGGCACCUGCUGAAACCCUGGGCAAAACAACCCAUGACAGCAACAAACCCACAUCACCCAGCUGCCCUCCCACAGCUCAGAGAGGACCAGGCUCUGGGCUGAACACUGGGGCAGGAAGGAAAUUUGCCUGGGUGAGGCUGAGCCCUGGGUGGUGGCCAGCAGCCCCAGCUGCAGGCACGGAGCGAUCGGGGGUCCUGCUCCCUGCCAUGGGGCUCUCACGUGCUCCACAGCUUUCCCAUGGAUGUAAAUCCAUUAAUAAAAGGUCAGUUUGCAGACACAGCUCGCUGUAGAUGACAGCACUAGAGGCACAUCAGCUUCUCCUAAGCACCAGUCUCAUGCUGGGUUUAUUUGGUCCAUUUGUGGCAGGGGGAGAGUUGCUUUCGGCAUUCAGAGAUGACUUGUGUCUGGGAGAAGUAGAAGGGUGAGAUAUAUUUUUGGCUCUAUUUAGCCACAAAAAUUUGGGUUUAGAAUAAAGAGAAAUAUUCCUGUUUGCUGCCAAACUGAGGCAGACAAUCCCUUGUGCAAGCCUUCGUUUGUUUGAGGACUCGGUGUCCUGUU